GCACUGGCUCCGCGUCGGCCGGUCGGUUUGGUCGGUUGUAGUGGCCUCGCCGCCCGGUCCGCUGUCGCAGCGCUCAUCCGCGCCGGGAGCCCUUGGCUGCGUCGCCCGGCAGCCGCGCCUCGCGAGACCGCUGUCUACGGCGCUGACGCCGCCUCUGCCUCUUGACCCCUUGGCCCCGCUGUCCUGAUCCCUGAGGUCGGGGCCUGGUCUGCACUCCAGGAAAGACGAGUGCGCUUAGUGUGCGCUGCACGUGAGCAGUGAAGUUGAUUCCACGCGCUGCGCUGCUCGGCAGCUGUCCCAGAACUGACCACGGACCCCUCCGCGGGUCCUGCUCCUGACAAGGGCCUUCCGGCACUGGGAGUUUUGUGUUAGUGGAAAGGAAGAAUCUAAUAAUACCACCACCUUUACAGUAAAGACGCUGCGAAUUGACGCCUUUUAUAAUAAAGACACUUAUCUUGCCCAAGAGCUGGGCUGGAGUGUAGUGGCGCAAUCUUGGAUCACCACAACCUCCGUCUCCCAGGUUCAAGCGAUUCUCCCGCCUCAGCCUCCUGAGUAGCAAUUACAGGGAGCAUUUCCUGAAGACGUAGUCAUGCAGCACGUCAGCAGCUCCCAGAGCAGCCAGCGCCAUGUCCAGUGGCCUGGGGCCUGCCCCGGCGCGGGCGAGGAGCAGCCAGCGUGCUCCCAGCCGUCCCUGCCCCUCACACUGCCAUCCCCCAGCCACCAACUACAGCAGCUGAUGGUCCAGACCCAGAGUCCCACGCAGCCCAGUCCGGGGCCGGGGCAGGCCUUGCAGAAUGUGCGUGCAGGUGCCCCUGGCCCUGGGCUGGGCCUCUGCAGCAGCAGCCCUACAGGGGACUUCGUGGAUGCCAGCGUGCUGGUGAGGCAGAUCAGCUUGAGCCCCUCCAGUGGUGGACACUUUGUGUUUCAGGAUGGGUCAGGGCUCACCCAGAUCGCCCAGGGAGCCCAGGUUCAGCUCCAGCACCCGGGUACGCCCAUCACAGUCCGAGAGCGGAGACCCUCCCAGCCCCACACACAGUCAGGGGGCACCAUCCACCACCUGGGACCCCAGAGCCCUGCAGCCGCGGGUGGGGCCGGCCUGCAGCCCCUGGCCAGCCCAAGCCACAUCACCACGGCUAACUUGCCACCGCAGAUCAGCAGCAUCAUCCAGGGCCAGCUGGUUCAGCAGCAGCAGGUGCUGCAGGGGCCGCCGCUGCCCCGGCCCCUGGGCUUCGAGAGGACGCCCGGCGUGCUGCUCCCCGGGGCUGGGGGCGCAGCGGGGUUUGGGAUGACGUCCCCACCCCCGCCCACCAGCCCUUCCAGGACUGCCGUGCCCCCAGGCCUUUCCAGCCUCCCACUCACGUCUGUGGGGAACACGGGAAUGAAGAAGGUUCCCAAGAAGUUAGAGGAGAUUCCCCCAGCCUCUCCGGAGAUGGCACAGAUGAGGAAGCAGUGCCUGGACUAUCAUCACCAGGAGAUGCAGGCUCUGAAGGAGGUCUUCAAGGAGUAUUUGAUUGAACUGUUUUUCUUGCAACACUUUCAAGGGAACAUGAUGGAUUUCUUAGCUUUCAAGGAGAGACUGUAUGGACCAUUACAAGCAUAUCUUAGGCAGAAUGAUUUGGACAUUGAAGAAGAGGAAGAGGAGCACUUUGAAGUCAUUAAUGAUGAGGUAAAGGUUGUGGCCAGAAAGCACGGGCAGCCUGGGACUCCUGUUGCCAUAGCAACCCAGCUACCGCCGAGGACUUCUGCGGCUUUUCCAGCCCAGCAGCAGCCGCUCCAGGUACUUUCUGAUGGCUCCACAGUGCAGCUCCCCAGACUUUCCUCACUCGGAUUUGAGGACUCGAUGUGCUGAGGCAGGACCCAGAGGGGUCCCAAGAGCCUGUCCUCUUUUGUUCAAAAUACAUCUUGAAACGUCUUUGUGAAGGCUCUUAGUUUUAAUGCAUGGAUGCUGUUAUUUUUCCCUACUGUUACUGAAAUUAAAAAGUGUUUGUCUCUGA
ensembl:lncRNA novel transcript